rnacentral:rRNA from 1 species
AUUGAACGCUGGCGGCAGGCCUAACACAUGCAAGUCGAGCGGACGACGGGAGCUUGCUCCUUGAUUCAGCGGCGGACGGGUGAGUAAUGCCUAGGAAUCUGCCUGGUAGUGGGGGACAACGUUUCGAAAGGAACGCUAAUACCGCAUACGUCCUACGGGAGAAAGCAGGGGACCUUCGGGCCUUGCGCUAUCAGGUGAGCCUAGGUCGGAUUAGCUAGUUGGUGGGGUAAUGGCUCACCAAGGCGACGAUCCGUAACUGGUCUGAGAGGAUGAUCAGUCACACUGGAACUGAGACACGGUCCAGACUCCUACGGGAGGCAGCAGUGGGGAAUAUUGGACAAUGGGCGAAAGCCUGAUCCAGCCAUGCCGCGUGUGUGAAGAAGGUCUUCGGAUUGUAAAGCACUUUAAGUUGGGAGGAAGGGCAGUAAGUUAAUACCUUACUGUUUUGACGUUACCGACAGAAUAAGCACCGGCUAACUCUGUGCCAGCAGCCGCCGUAACAC